UGCUAGUUAAUGAAGACAUCCUCAAGCCAUCAGUAAGGGAGUCCUAAGCUUACCUUUUUGGCUGAAUAACUUGCUUCAUAUGAAUUAUGCAGCUCUCAUUGGUAUAUGGAAGGAGGCAAUAGCUACUGAAGGAUUAUUGCUUCUGGAGCCACAGGCAAAAUACAUUUUUAAGGAACUACAGUGUGUCCUGGGAAUCUGGGGCAACAAAACCAGAAGAGUAUACUGAAGGCAUUUCCAACAACCAAAGGCUCAGCCCUACAUUCUGAGUACCCAGAACUCUCGUUUAAGUCAAUAAAUGAAGAAUUAGACCCAAAGGGGGGAAAAAAGCAUGGAAAAGAACAGAAAAGAUAACCUCUGAUAAGAAAAAGCUUCAAUUACAAUAAUAAAAGCCCUAAUUAGAGAAAAAGCACUUAUUAUUUUGUAAAUCGAUGAUCUGAUGGGUUAAAAUAUCCAGCCACUGCACUCAGUCUUACUUGCCUAUUUAUAAUGCUGUUUAAAUAUGUACUCAGUAAUUUUGCUUGGUGCUAUAUUGUUGUUGCUUGCAUUUGAGACAAUCAAUCAAAAAUACAAUAAAGUCUGAAAGGGCAAGAAAUAAUCUUUCAUGACAACAUCUU